rnacentral:lncRNA from 10 species
CCUUAUAGGUGGAGCAUACUUCCUCAAUCCACUGACCUGAAUCUUGACCAUGUGGCUUACAUUGUCCAGUGAAAUAUAAGGAGAAGUUCAGUGUGACAGUGAGGAGUGCAGACUUUCAGAUGCAAUGAGUGUUUCUUCUCGUUGUUCUGUGCUCCUGUCCUGCACCAUAAGAGCAUGUCCCAGGUCAUCAUGUUCUUUUGACCAGGCUCCUGGAAUGAGAGACGCUUGGAGCUGACCUGAACUGGACCUCUAGAAGCAGAGAUGCUGAGAACAUCUGCAGAUACAUGAUGGAUUGAGCAGUCCCUGAGUCAUAUACUCUACCAGAGAAUGAAUGAUGUCUGGUAAAUAAGAUGAUGAAUCUGACACAUAAAAGUACUGAGGGCCCAGUCAAGGCAAUAUCACUGGCUGUGAAAUGCUGAAGAGAAUCAGUUGAAAGAGAAAGAAGAAUGAAUUGGAAAAGCAAAUACUUCUGUGUUCUACUGUCAAAUGUGAUGCAUUCAAAUAAGGGAUGUUAUGACAGAAAAAACAAAUCUUCCUCAACUUGUCCACAUCAGUUCCAUUCCCUCAUUUAUAGGGAAGCUUGAGGAAUGUUUAGUGAAAUGCUGGCAAAUAGACUUCAAGAGAAAGUCUAAUUAGUAAUGUUUUUUCUUCUAAGGUAAGUAGAGAAAAAAAGGUAAUUAUGGAAACCCCAAGUUUCGUUCUCAAAUUUAAGCCCAACUUAAAUAUAGUUUAAGGUCUUUCUUCCUUUAAACUCACCACUCUUACUGCUUUUUGAUUUUGUGGUGGUUCAUCCAUAUUAAUGUACCUAAUGACAGGCACUCUGAAAAGGUGAGAAUGAAUUCUUUCUUCUGAGGCUCAUCUAUCUCCAAAUCAACCAGGAAAAAAAAGUAGAAGAAAAUCACCAGCUGUUGGGAAAGUUAUUUAGAGGAUGUUAGCCAGAUUAAUCUUUACAUAAUAAUUAUGAAUUAGUAACGUUUCUCCUCCAUAAAAUCCACAUAUUUAGUGAGCUUCAGAGAACAUAGAAGAGGCAAGAGAAAAUGACAGUGAAGUGAUGUAUUAGCCAUGGCUCUCUAGAGGGACAAGACUAAUAAGAUAGACAUAUAUAUGAAAGGGAGUUUAUUAAGGAGUAUUGACUGACACAGUCACAAGGUGAAGUCCCACAAUAGGCCGUCUGCCAUCUGAGGACCAAGGAAGCCAGCCCAAGUCCCCAAACCUCAAAAGUAGGAAAACCAACAGUGCAGCCUUCAGCCUGUGGCCAAAGGCCCGGGAGACCCUGGUAAACCACUGUAUAGGUCCAAGAGUCCAAAAGCUGAAGAACCUGGAGUCCGAUAUUCAAGGGCAGGAAGCAUCCAGCAUGGGAGAAAGAUGAAGGCCGGAAGACUCAGCCAGUCUAGUCCUUCCACGUUCUGUCUGCUUUAUUCUAGCUAUUCUGGCAGCUGAUUAGAGAUCGUGCCCACCCAGUUUGAGGGUGGGUCUGCCUCUCCCAGUCCACUGACUCAAAUGUUAAUCUCCUUUGGCAACACCCUCAAAGACACACCCAGGGACAAUACUUUGCAUUCUUCAAUCCAAUUAAGUUGACAGUAUUAACCAUCACAAGUGCUUCAUCAUGUUAUAAUAAAACAGAAUUAUGGCUUCAAGGACCCGCAGUCUUUAAAACUACCCACACAAAAGAUAAAAGGGAACUAAAAUUAUAAUUUCCCAAGGAUUAACAGUAUAAGCUUCAUUCUAAGUGAAUUAAAUAAUUUGUCAAUUUCCUCUUCAUACUGAAAGUAACCAUACUAGGAUAUAACAUGUGUUGGAAAAGUGAUUACAAAUGACUCAAAUCAGUGCCCUAAAAUUUCAAACAAAUUCCCACUAUUGAUACAUAAGGAAUCCACAUUGGGAUUAGCAGUAUUAUUCACUUAUGCAAAAAUAUCUUUUGACAUGAGGUGAAAACAUAACCUCUGAACACAGUCAUUCUUUUAGGUUUUCAGUGGGAAUUGUGCCUAAGUGAUUAGGAAAGGAUAUGGUCCAAUAAAUAAACUGAAAAUUUUGUAACAAGUGGUAGAGUAAUACAUAUUAAUUCUGAACAGAUUGACACUGUAAUUUGGGAUAAAAACCAUAAUGAUUACAGAACACAGUCAGUGUAAGUCUGAUGGACUAGAACAGAUGUGUCCACCUGUUUAGGGUCCAGCUCUGCUUCACUUGGGCUGCAUAACACUAGCUAUUUGGAAAGGCAUACAGGUUAGGAAACAGAAAAUAUAUUGGAUUCUGGAUCAAUUUUUGUUCUUCUAUGUAACAAUUAACGUCAAAAAGACAGAGCACACCAAAGGCUAAAAUAAAAGAAAGUCUAGAGGAGAUGUAAACAUUAUUACAUGCCUUUCAUUGGAGAUAAUUUGGAAACCUUCAUAAAGAGAUUUUCAAGGUCAGGAGUGUGUAAUAGAUUCAAACUGUUUUUGUUUUUCUAACAUCAACAAAUCUUGUAUAAAUUAACUCAAUCGGAGUUUUUUUAAAAUGCUAAACUGAAGAAAGAUGGAAAGAGACUCCAAUAUUAUAAUGUUCAUGCCUAGGGGCACUCCAUAUAUCCAAUACCAAGUAAGACUAGGCUUUUGUGAAUAUUUAUCACUUGAAAUCAUGGGGAAAAUACUUUUUUCUUGACAGAAUAUGCCCCAGGUUUAAAGAUUAUACUGUACAUCAUUAAGGGGUAAUUUUAUUUUUUCUUAAGGUAGAAGGAGAUAUCAGUACUAUAAUAAUAAAUCUGCCUCUUUGUUAUAAGAAAAGUUUAAUGUGUGGUCAUAAACAUUGUUUGUUUUAAAGACAGAUUGUUAUAGAUGUAUUAUUAAAAAUAUCCAUCCUGUCUGUACUCUUUAUACUUUCUUACUUAAAUUUAUUAACAAAAUUGGGUAUAUGUGUGCCAUUCUUUCUCUGUUGUCUCUGCCAUCCUCUGGAUAUUUAGCCAAUCCUUAACCUAAAAAGCCUUUGUCAUUAUAAGGGUAAAACAUCAUUUUGUUAUAUCUUAAUAUAGAGAAACCAGUCUUCUAGCUCAUUUAUAAUCUUCAAAUGUGUUUGUUGGAGAUGUUUUGUAUUCGUUAAUUUAUUUGAUUUUUUGUAUAAUAAUUUCCCUCCAAAUAAGGUUUUCAAAUUUCAUAAUGAGAAGAACACAGGUUAGUUUAGAGUACUGUAGAUAUAUUCUUGUCAAAGAUAUCAACUGGGUAAAAUGCUAUCGGAAACAUCCAAGAAGUUUAAAAAGUUUUGUUGGCCAGGUGUGGUGGCUCAUGCCUGUAAUUCCAGCACUUUGGGAGGCCGAGGUGGGCAGAUAAUUUGAAGUCAGAAGUGUCAGACCAGCCUGGCCAACAUGGCGAAACCCCUUCUCUACUAAAAAUACAAACAUUAGCUGGGUGCAGUGGCAGGUGCCUGUAAUCCCAGCUACUUGGUAAGCUGAGGCAGGAGAAUUGCUUGAACCUGGGAGGCAGAGGUUGCAGUGAGCUGAGAUCACGCCACUGCACUCCGGCCUGGGUGACAAGAGUGAAACUCUGUCUCAAAAUAAAUAAACAAACAAACAAAUAAAAUAAAUAGAUAAAUAAAUAAAUAAAUAAAUAAAAUUUUGUCUUCCUUGCUUGCCAUUUCUUAUAAUCAGAAAAACUAGAGAAACAUCUUUCAACAUAGUCUAUAUGCAGUACCAGAUUUGACAGAAUUUGUAUUAUCCAAAAACUCUAGUGGGUAAAUGGCAUUAUAGUUUAUAAUGAGAAUAUUUUGUCAUACUCUUUGCACUCAAGGAAGUGUAAAAAUUUAACAGAUAUACAAAAAGGAAGAGAAAACUAAUAUAAAUAGAUGAGAGAUCUGCAAGUGUCCCAUCCAUUUAGAGGGCCAAAACAGUGAUUGAUUUCAGGGCAAUUAUGUAUUUGCUAUAAAUUCCUGUUUUGAGGUCAAAAAAUUAAAAGUGUUCAGAAAAAUUGAUGUAGUUUAUGCAAUUCUGGACAUAGUACAUUUUAUCUUAUCAGUGUUAUUUUAUAAUAUUCAGAGUAGAUAUAUUAAAAAUAAUAAAAUCAUGACCUAAUGACUACAUUACUGUGUAAUUACAGAUGCAACAUAUUAUAGUGGAUGACUAAAGACUUUUUAGAUUCUGUAGUUGUUUAAAUUCAGUAGUUUCAAAUUCUGACUGUGUAUCAGCUGGGAAACUUUUAAACAAUACUGAUGUCUUGGUGCCUAGCUCCCGUAUCCCCACCCUCCCACUCAUGGAUUGUCAUACAAUUGACCUGAGGUGGGGCCCAGGCAUUAAUUUUUUUUUUGAACUUUUAUUUUAAGUUCAUGGGUACAUGUACAGUUUCUUUACCUAGUUAAGCUUAUGUCAUGUGCAUCCAACAAAGGUCUAAUAUCCAGCAUCUGUAAGGAACUUAAACACAUUUUCAAGAAAAAACAAACAGCCCCAUAAAAAAGUGGGCAAAGACUUGAACAGGCAUUGAUUUUCUUUCUUUUUUUUUUUUAUUAUACUUUAAGUUCUAGGGUACAUGUGCACAACGUGCAGGUUUGUUACAUAGGUAUACAUGCGCCAUGUUGGUUUGCUGCACCCAUCAACUCGUCAUUUACAUUAGGUAUUUCUCCUAAUGCUAUCCCUCCCCUAGCCCCCCACCCCACGACAGGCCCCCGGUGUGUGAUGUUUGCUGCCCUGUGUCCAAGUGUUCUCAUUCUUCAGUUCCCACCUAUGAGUGAUAACAUGCAGUGUUUGGUUUUCUGUCCUUGUGAUAGUUUGCUGAGAAUGAUGGUUUUCAGCUUCAUCCAUGUCCCUGUAAAGGACAUGGACUCAUCCUUUUUUAUGGCUGCAUAGUAUUCCAUGGUGUAUAUGUGAAAUAUUUUCUUUAUCCAGUUUAUCAUUGAUGGGCAUUUGGGUUGGUUCCAAGUCUUUGCUAUUGUGAAUAGUGCCACAAUAAAUAUACGUGUGCAUGUGUCUUUAUAGUAGCAAGAUUUAUAAUCCUUUGGGUAUAUACCCAGUAAUGGGAUGGCUGGGUCAAAUGGUAUUUCUAGUUCUAGAUCCUUGAGGAAUCGCCACACUGUGGUUGAACUAAUUUACACUCCCAUCAACAGUGUAAAAGUGUUCCUAUUUCUCCACAUCCUCUCCAGCACCUGUUGUUUCCUGACUUUUUAAUGAUCACCAUUCUAACUGGUGUGAGAUGGUAUCUCACUGUGGUUUUGAUUUGCAUUUCUCUGAUGGCCAGUGAUGAUGAGCAUUUUUUCAUGUGUCUGUGGGCUGCAUAAAUGUCUUCUUUUGAGAAAUGUCUGUUCAUAUCCUUUGCCCACUUUUUGAUGGGGUUGUUUGCCUUUUUUGUAAAUUUGUUUAAGUUCUUUGUAGAUUCUGGAUAUUAGCCCUUUGUCAGAUGGGUAGACUGCAAAAAUUUUCUCCCAUUCUGUAGGUGAACAGGCAUUGAUUUUCUAAGAGCUCUUUUGGUCAUUACAUUGUGAAGCCAGGGUUGAGAAAUAAUUAUCUUCAUUUUUCUGUUCCUAAAUUGGGUUAACUGGAGCCAUUUCUCCUUAUAUCGAUGAGAUCUUAUGAGAAACAGUUAAUAAAAUAUCUUCACAUACAUUUGUGUAACAUUUUAUGGUUGUCAAAAAGAGUUUCAAAUCUAUUGGAGGUACACUAGGUAAUUAAAGACUACAACAGAGGUAAAUACGUUUUUUGGAAAGAUCACUUGUCUAAAUCUUGGUGGUGUCAGUGAAUACUUCCUGGGGAAAGAGACUACAAAUCUUUGGCAUGAAAUGCAAAUUGGGGUUCAAGGUUAAUCUGUGCAGAAACGCAUGUCAGUAUUCCAUUCCUUUUUAUGGUCAAAUAAUAUUCCAUGGUAUGAAUAAUCCACAAGAAUUUAGUCACAGAAAACCACAUAUUAUAUGAUUCCACUUAUAUGAAAUAUCUGGAAGAGACAAAUCUAUAGAGACAGAAAGUUGAUUAACAGUUGCAUAGAACUGGGCUGUAAGGGGUAUGGGGAGAUUGGUAAGUAACAGCUAAUGAGUACAGAGUUUCACUUUGUAGUGAUUACGAAGUUCUAAAAGUGAUGGUUGAACUUAUCUGUAAAUAUACUAAAAACCAUUGAAUUAUGCAGUUUAAAUGGGCAAAUUAUACAUCCUGUGAAAUAUAUCUCAAUAAAGUUGUUCUGAAAAACAAGUAGGCUUGCAAGACCAGAUGAGUGAGAGCACUGUAUCUGGAGGGAGAAAUCUCAGAAAGCAAGGAGAGUUUAGAAACUGGUAAGUAGCUCCAGAUGGCUGGCACAUAGGGUUAGAGAAGGGUCCCAGAGGUGGUUAGAAGUGAAGCUAAAUAAAACAAAUGGGUCUGAUCAUGAAAGAUAUGUUUAGCCUUUAAAUUUUUAAAAGUUGUGGUAAAAUAUAUACAACAUUUAUCGUCUUAACCAUUUUUAGUGGGUAGUUCAGUAGUGUUAAAUAUAUUCACAUUAUCGUGCAAUCCAAUAUCUGGAACUGUUUUAUCUCACAAUACUGAAACUCUAUGUCUGUUAAAUAACAAUUCCCCAUCUCCUCCUGCCCUAGCCCCAGGGAAGUAUGGUGACUAUAUAUCAUCAAAUAAAAAAUGUCAACAAAGAGACAGAAAUUGUUAGAAAGAACCAAGUGAAAGUUUUGAAAUUGAAAAGUGAAAUAAGAGUGAUUAGAAAAUCACUAGAUGACCUCAAUAGUAGGUUUUAGCAUUAAAGAAAUAAUUAGUGAAUUUGAGGAUAAAUGAUUAGAAAUGAGGCCAUGUGAGUAGGAGAGAGAAAAAACAAUGAAAACUUGUUCACAGAGACACAAUCAUUCUACCAUAAAGACAUAUGCACACGUAUGUUCAUGACAGCACUAUUCACCAUAGAAAAGACAGAGAAUCAACCUAAAUGCCCAUCAGUGGUAGAUUGGAUAAAGAAAAGGUAGUACAUAUACAGCAUGGUAUAAUAUGCAGCCAAAGAAAUGAAUGAGAUCAUGUCCUUUGCAGCAACAUGAAGGAGCUAGAGGUCAUUAUUCCAAGUGAACUAACAUAGGAACAGUAAACCAAAUGCUGCAUGUUCUCACUUGUAAUUGCAAGCUAAACACUGAGUACAUAUGGACACAAAGAAGGGAACAACAGACAGUGGGGCCUUCUUGAGGGUGGAUGCUGGGAGAAAGGUGAGGAUCGAAAAACUACCUAUCAAUCAGGUUACUAUGCUCAUCACUUGGGUAAUGAUCUGUACAGCAAACCCUUGUGAUGCACAAUUGACCUGUAUAACAAACCUGCACAUGUACUCCUGAACCUAAAAUAGAAGUUAAAAAAUAAAGAAGAAAUUUGCAAAAAACCCACCAGAGACUCAGAGAAAUGUGGGAUGGACCAUUAAGUCCAUCCAUAUAUGCGUAAUGAGAGUACCAAAAGAGAGAGCAUGAAAGGGACAGAAGAAAACAUUCUAUGAAAAAAAUGGCUAAAAACUUCCUGAAUGUGAGGAAAACUAGUAAUUUACAUAUCCAAGAAGCUAAAUAACUCCAAGCAGAAUAAAUGCAAAAAACAAAAUCAUAACUAUAUACACUGCAGCCAAAAUAUUAAAAGUCAAAAAGAAAGAGAAUAUCUUUAAAGCUCUAAGAGAAAAACAACUCAUCAUGUACAGGAAAAUCACAAUAAGAUUAAUAGUAAAUUCUUCUGAAAAUAAUAGAGGCCAGAGGCAAUGAGAUGACAAAGUGAUGAAGUUAAAACAAAAUAAAA